UGAGAAACACACAGCAUGAGCUU
rnacentral:piRNA from 1 species